CCAAACCUAACCAACCCAAAAAUAAAAAUAAAAUACCCCAACCCAUUACAAUUAAAUUAGCCCAACUAAUAACAGCCCAAUAGCUCACAAGACUUAAAAAUUUUCAGCCAAACCCUAAGUCCCCUAGCGCCGCAAGCUUCCAUGCGUGGCCUCGUCGUCUGCCACACCUCCAACGCACGCCUCUGCCACUGCGUCUGACACCUCGACUGCCUCUACCACUGCUACCUGUAAGGAAAGGUGAACACGCAACAACCAAGAAGCCAAGCACAAGCAGACAACAGAAACAAACAAAAAUAGUAGAAUAGAGAGUUGUUCAAAUCGGCUAUAAAGGCGAGAUCAGAUCCUUGUAUUUUUUUUACGCACAUUAGAAAUCAAAACAGCAAAAAAUACAAGUUCGAAAAGGUUAAACCUUUACUGUUUUUAUUCAUUUUAUUUCAUUUUUUUUAUCUUUUUCUUUUUACAACUUCAUUUUAAUAAGAAAAAUAUAGAGAUAAUAACAAAAAAGAAGGGGGAGCGCACCUGAAUCGCUCUGUAGCUCCGUCGACGGAUGUCCUCUCACCGUCGUCGGAAUCGGGUUUAAAAAUGGGGUGCAAGGCUCUUCGUCUCCUCCAGUCGAAGCCCGACCUCAUAGCCCACCUAGAACCGGGUUAUAAAAGCCCUUCAUCACGCUUCGUCGGUCGUCGGUUUAGUGGCGGUGCGCCGGACGAUGAACGGCGGAGGGAAUCCCAACCGCCGGAAGGUAUGGGGAGGGUAUUUGAGAGGGUUCUGCAGAUUUUUUC
rnacentral:lncRNA from 1 species